rnacentral:rRNA from 1 species
AGAGGUGGCAAGCGUUGUUCGGAUUUACUGGGCGUAAAGGGUGCGUAGGUGGUUAGGUAAGACCUGCGGGAAAGACCUGGGCUUAACCCAGGAAGGUCGUAGGUGACUGCCUGGCUAGAGGGCGGGAGAGGAGAGCGGAAUUCCCGGUGUAGCGGUGAAAUGCGUAGAGAUCGGGAGGAAGGCCGGUGGCGAAGGCGGCUCUCUGGAACGUUCCUGACACUGAGGCACGAAAGCGUGGGGAGCAAACAGGAUUAGAUACCCUGGUAGUCCACGCCCUAAACGAUGGGUACUAAGUGUCGGCGGGUUACCGCCGGUGCCGCACCUAACGGAGUAAGUACCCCGCCUGGGGAGUACGGCCGCAAGGUUG